rnacentral:rRNA from 1 species
CACGGGGGGAGCAAGCGUUGUUCGGAAUUACUGGGCGUAAAGAGUGUGUAGGCGGUGCUCUAAGUCUGUUGUGAAAUCUCCCGGCUUAACUGGGAGGGUGCGGCGGAGACUGGAGUGCUAGAGUGUGGGAGAGGUAAGCGGAAUUCCUGGUGUAGCGGUGAAAUGCGUAGAUAUCAGGAGGAACACCUGUGGUGUAGACAGCUUACUGGACCACGACUGACGCUGAGACACGAAAGCGUGGGUAGCAAACAGG